GGCAUUUUUUGUUUUUUUUUUAGGGAAGGGCAUUUUUUACCGUGUGGUGGAUUGGCCAACCCUAUCCACCAAUCCCCCGUCCGCCUCCCUCCUCCCCUGCUCGCUCGCCCGGUCGCCGCCACUCACGGCGAUGAGCGGCAAGGCCGCGUCCACGAGAGAGCCGAUGGGCCAUUGCAGUCGCCGCCGGGUGCGGCUGCCUCCUCUCCCCUUCCCGUCCCCCGGUUUCUUCCGCCGCCGCCGCCGCUCUCCACUGGACGGCGAGCUUCACCCCUCCCCUCCCCUCCCCCACACGAAUAUCCACCUCCUGCCCCCAUCCUUCGCGUCCGAGAAGCCGUGGCCGUCCCUUCGUCGAGGGAACGGCCUGCCGGAUCCGGUGUCCCCGUUCCAUGUCGGCCACCGUCCUCUUACCACCCGCCUCCCGCUUCCCGACCCAUCCCCGUCUCUCGGCGCGGCGCAGGCGGGACCUGGCUGUUCAAGUGUCCAUUGACGGCGGCGAGCCCGAGCCGGCGAGGUAGAUCUUACCGGUGGACUGCGGGUCGUCGACGCGUUGCCUCGGGCACAGACGCAGCCGCAGCAGAGGAUGGCCACCGAGUUGUGUAGGUUGAAACAAACGUCAAUGGCUGUUGAGUCUACCUCUACCCGUGGCACUGUUGUCACCCUGAUUGACACAUUUUUCUGAAACUUGAAUUGUUUCUCAUACCUGACGCUGACGGUCACUAGAGAAACAUUGGGAUUUCACUCUGUCGACAGUCUAGACAACCAACACCUUAUACCUGACUGACUACAUCAAUCUCUUGUUAAAUACAUAGGGGAGAAAUAUUGCAAUUUAUGGUGAGACUCCUGAUGGUUUGGAGGAUGACGGCAGCCUGGAGCAGGAGCGUUUACUCGCUGUGCCUAUGGUAGUGGCGGCGGUGAUGGCGCGUAUGGUAGUGGCGGCGGUCAGGACGUGCCCUCGGCGAUCUCGACAUCCAAGUCAAGGAUUGGCGGCGCAAGAACGAUGGCACUGCACGGGAUCGAGCCAGAGGAAUGUGAUCCAUCCUGUCAAGAUCGAUUUCUGCGUGCGGUAAGGAUUUGCGUGCUCUUCCACUGGAUUGAUUUCAUGUUCUUCUUGUUUUGUUUUCGUUUGUAGGAUUGCUGAUGCUAAUUUGUUGCUCCGUCUUCUGCUGUGCGUUUACUCACUGUGUUUGUUUCUUUACAAGGAAAACCUCAGUAUGUGGAUAUCACAUUCAGUUGCAUUGACACGGGAAACAAAUUGAAAAGGCAAUUAGAUAUCUUUUCUCAUUGAACGGGUCUGUAAUUAGAUAUCAUGAGCUGGGAGGAAACAAAUCCAGUUAACUAGAUAUCUUUUUUCAUUGAACGGGUCUGUAAUUAGAUAUCAUGUGCUGUGAAGAAGCAAAUCCAGUAAAACAAAUAAUUACUCAAUAUCUCAGAGCUGUGAAUUGACUGUCUGGGAAGUGAAUUUACUGGCUGUGAUAUUGAGUCAUUAUUUUCCUUUUUCCCAUGCUUUUGACCUUCUCAUAGUGGAGUAUGGUCACAGCUGGUUCCUUGAUGUACCAUUGACAUGUCUAGACUAUGAACUCAUUCUUUUACCAGCUCUGAGAUUUUACAUAGUGAUGACUCAUGAUUAAGAUUAUUAUUGUGAAAAAGAACUUGCUUCAUGUUAUUAUGUACAGUGGUACAACCUUCACAUAAGAAGCUCCACACUAGAGGCAAGGUCCAUCUCUUCCAACAAUCUUAGCCAGCCCGGUUUACUUGUUUUGAUAUGAUUUUUUUAAUGAAAUUACAGGGUCUGACGAAACACCAUCAAGAGAUAGCUGAAUGUUUCAACCGAAGGGGUGUGUCUUUAAUUUUCCUUUUAAGAAGAAAGAAAACUUUUGCAGCAAAAUACCAGGAAACUAAAUGGAACUCAUAAAGCUCAGGAGCAUCAUGGAGGCCAGGUUCACCUUUUUUUCUUUUCUUGGUCAUACUCACAGCCCAGGGUGUGAUAAAUUUCAUCAAGGAAAAUAAUGACUCAAUAUCACAGCCAGCCAAUUCACUUCAUGCUAGAUUUACAAUUUAGUUGAUACAAAAAGGCAAUACUGUUUAUUUACGACCUGAUACUAGCAGGUUAACCCAUUUUAUUCGGCUUAUGAGCAGUAUCAGUACACUAUGAAAUAAAUGAAACAUUAUGUGUUUUUCUAGCAGACCCGAAAUAACAAACUUAGUGAAGAUCCUAAAAGCAACAAUGGAAUGAUUUGUAAGGAAAUCUAACCAAACAAACAAACAUAACCAAACUUGUCUCAUUUUAUAGCAUUUAGAUAAUGUACAACAUUUUACAAUUGGUAUUGUACAACUAUUUAUUGGGUAGGGGGUAGGUUAGCGUGAAAACAACAUAUGUUGCUUUCGUUUAUAUUACAAUUUAUUUGAUUCACAGAACCGUGGUAGUGACAUGAUUUUGGCAGGAGAAAGGAGGAUUAUCAUUUCUAGAGGUUGAAUUUUUUCUUUUGGUGAAUUGCAAAUGCUAAAUUCUGUUACCAUGAAUUAGAAAUUAUAAUACUCUAGCUAUCCAGUGUUAGAGGAUUAUCCUUUAACAUUUCUACUGAAUAUCAAAUAUCAGUUAGGGCUUACCAUUCUACAUUUCUACUGAAUAUCAAAUAUCAAUUAGUACUUAUCGCAUAAAAUAAAUUAGUAUUUACCAUUCUACGUUUCUCCUGAAUAUUAGUAUCACAAGUUUAUACUAAUUUUCCAACCAGGGGAACUCCAGUUCCGAAAGUUUUAUACUCACCGGUGAGCUAUUCCCAGUAGAAAUUACUGGAUAGGAGCAAAAUUGUUUUUCAAGAUCAUGUUAGUAUUUUUUUUAUAAUAGAGCCAUAGGCUACACCAAACAAAUUGGAUUGUUUUGAUUUCGUUGUGUGGUUGUGCUUGCGAUCCAGGUGAGUUGAGCUGCGGCUUGGAUGGGGAUGUUGGUGCUGUUCAAGAGGCCUGCUGGGCUCGCCCUUUUCAAGGUUCUGAACCAGGGCAAGCUCGACAAGGUCGAGGAUCUAUGGAAGGAGUUCACGACUCGGGCUCGACGAGAAAGGUUUGUGCUUCAUCUUUUUUUUAUGGCAAAAUAACUUCUCUUUCUGAAACAAUCAGUACUUCAUAUAUCUAUCACAUUAUAAUAGACUAAGUCAACAAAAGCCCUUUUAUUUGAAUGAACAAGAAUCCGUUGUGUGCUGCUGAGCUAUGUGCCCCUUUUCCAAACAUGGCGCCCGGGUCUCCGAUCCGUGUCGCCGCAGGUAAGACCCGCGCCGCUGCAUCCAGUGUGUCCGUAUGAUUCCAAUGAAUUAGCUCUAUCCAAUUUUACACUGUAAUGCGCUUGAUGUUUGUGUUUGUUCCAGAUUUACAAAGAGAAGCCUCGGUCAAUACUCGAGUGCUAUAUGUUUUUUUUUCUUUGUUGGCCUCCAGCUAUUUGUAUUUUAAGAAUCAUUCUGAACCUGGGGUUCAGAGCAGUAAAAAAAGAUGAUUUUGUUUGCAAUUUUUGCUCUGUCUAUAAUGGAGAUGCCUUUUUUCACAAGUAGUUUAUACCAUGUCAUAUUUUAAUUUUUGUGGUUUUCUGUAUUCUUUAAGAUAUAUAUAUUUGCUUGAGUGCAUAACUUAGCAAUUGAGCUUUUACAAAUGUUCUCAUCUUUUAUGGAGUAAAGUUUACUGACAUAGCUCGUGCUCUGAAAAAAGUAGAAGUGUGAUUUUGUUUGACCAAGUACACGGACCCUGUAGGCCUUCUGUAAAUCUUCUAUGUGCGCUGAUUAACAUCUUCUGAAUAGGCCGAGUUGUCAUGGAUGAUAAUGAAGCUACAGUACCCCUAAUCUGAAUUUGCACAUUGAUCUUCGCUUCUUCAGUGCGUCCUAUAAAAAAGGUACCCAGCAAGAGGACAGCUAUGGUGAUCAAUGAUGUAUAGUUCUACAUAUGAUGAAGGUUUCUUUUGCAUGAUAAUUAUUUUUCAACAGAACUUUAAUGUUUUAAGUAUUUGAACUACACAUGUUGCUGAUCGUACACUGCAGUGAAAUUCAUUUGCAAGUUGGAGUGUACUGUUCUUUGCCACAGGCCUCCGCAACACAUAGUCGUCUUCCUCUUCCCUUCCAAUUCACCUCCUCUUGUGAGACUUCCAAUCUCUUGCUCUACCUUUCCUCCUGCUCCUUCUAUGUAUUUUUGUUUGUAUGGUUUUACUCCGUGGUGCUUGCAUAUCCAUUUGUCAGAAAGUAUAUAGCUAAUUGUCGUGUCCCGUUAUUGUGUGAUGAUAUUCCUGCCAAUGGUGUGAACUAGCAUAUGAUGAAAACUACAUCCCGAUGAAACAAAUUUACAAGAUAUAGUUUCAGAAUUUAGUUGGUUUGUGUCUAACAAUAUAACCGUCAUGUUAAAUAUGUUGCAAGUAUUCACAAGACAACCUUGUAGUGAGGUAAUUUCACCAUGCAUUUUGUAGAUGACUCAGUGAUGUCAUCUUACCAUCUUGGCUAUGGUCUGGAGAUCUUGGGUAUCUCGCUGAUGUCAUCUAUCCCGGGUAUCUCUCUCACCCAAUAUUGAUACUACUAAACUUAAACUAUCCUUUGUAAAAUUCUGUGAACUUGAAUGGGAAUGUUAAUAUCCUGAUAAACAAGUUUCACUCACACACUGAUUGGCAAAACAAAAAAUUGGUCGGCAUAAAUGGAUGUGGACACUUAGAAUCAGAUAGUGUGUAGGCUUUGGUUAGGAAUAUGCAUCAAACUAUAUAUUAUCCUGUCCGUAUAAAUAACCCAAUCCACGUUUGUUGUAUCAUACACUUUCCGAAUUUAAACAACUACAUGCUUAUGGAAGCAUGUUGACAAGGUAAUGGCAGUCUAUCCAAUUAUCCAUCGUGAUGUGCUAAAUCUAUAGGUUAGACCGAUAUAAAUACACACAGAUGUUUAACACGUUUAUUUAGGACCUUUAGAUAAUUUUUUGCGAUUUUUGUCUCAGGUUGGUGAAAUUACAACAAAUCUGGAGUUGUUGCUUUCAUGCUGAUGAGGGGUGCAGAACUAACUUAAGGAUGUGUCGUUGUCUCUGCAAAGGGAGUUUUUGCUUGGUGCGUCACUUCCUAUUCGGAGAUGCAACGUCGUGUUUGCCCGGGUAGGUUUUUACCUUUCAUAUGGUCAUUGCUGCCUCAUGCUUUUCUCAGAGAGGGUUUUAUCUGUACUGCCGUCUCUCCUCUUCAUAGUGCUGCUAUGCCUAUUGCCACUCGACGGCUUUUUUCUCUAUUUCUUUUUUGCUUUCUUUGCGCAUGGUCGUGUUCUUGCCCCGGCCAUCUUAGUUGCUUGGCUACUUUGGCCUGGUUGUAUGGAUGUUUGCUUUAUAAAUAAAGCGGGGUGAAAGCCUAUUUUGAGAAGGUUU